rnacentral:rRNA from 1 species
CGUAACGCGUAUAGAAUCUGCCUUAUACAGGGGAAUAGCCCAGAGAAAUUUGGAUUAAUGCCCCAUAGUAUGUUUUUAUCGCAUGAUAGAUAUAUUAAAGUUCCGGCGGUUUGAGAUGGGCAUGCGUGCCAUUAGAUAGUUGGUGAGGUAACGGCUUACCAUGGCUACGAUGUUUAGGGGUACUGAGAGGAUUAUCCCCCACACUGGUACUGAGACACGGACCAGACUCCUACGGGAGGCAGCAGUGAGGAAUAUUGGGCAAUGGAGGCAACUCUGACCCAGCCAUGCCGCGUGCAGGAAGACGGCCCUAUGGGUUGUAAACUGCUUUUAUAUACCAAGAAACCCCAUCACGAGUGAUGGCUUGACGGUAGUAUAUGAAUAAGGACCGGCUAACUCCGUGCCAGCAGCCGCGGUAAUACGGAGGGUCCGAGCGUUAUCCGGAUUUAUUGGGUUUAAAGGGUGCGCAGGCGGUACAAUAAGUCAGUGGUGAAAUCACGAGGCUCAACCUCGGAACUGCCAUUGAUACUGUUGUACUCGAAUAUAGUUGAGGUAGGCGGAAUGUGUAAUGUAGCGGUGAAAUGCUUAGAUAUUACACACAACACCGAUUGCGAAGGCAGCUUACUAAACUAUUAUUGACGCUGAUGUACGAAAGCGUGGGGAGCGAACAGGAUUAGAUACCCUGGUAGUCCACGCCGUAAACGAUGAUCACUCGUUGUUUGUGAUACACAGUGCGUGACCGAGCGAAAGCAUUAAGCAUACCGCCUGGGGAGUACGUUCGCAAGAAUGAAACUCAAAGGAAUUGACGGGGGCCCGCACAAGCGGAGGAACAUGUGGUUUAAUUCGAUGAUACGCGAGGAACCUUACCUGGACUUAAAUGUAGAUUGACCGGUUUAGAAAUAGAUCUUUCCUUCGGGAAUUUACAAGGUGCUGCAUGGUUGUCGUCAGCUCGUGCCGUGAGGUGUCGGGUUAAGUCCCAUAACGAGCGCAACCCCUAUCGUUAGUUGCUAGCAGGUAAUGCUGAGGACUCUAGCGAGACUGCCACCGUAAGGUGAGAGGAAGGUGGGGAUGACGUCAAAUCAGCACGGCCCUUACGUCCAGGGCUACACACGUGUUACAAUGGCCGGUACAAAGGGCAGCUACAUGGCAACAUGAUGCUAAUCUCCAAAGCCGGUCUCAGUUCGGAUCGAAGUCUGCAACUCGACUUCGUGAAGCUGGAUUCGCUAGUAAUCGCAUAUCAGCCAUGAUGCGGUGAAUACGUUCCCGGGCCUUGUACACACCGCCCGUCAAACCAUGGAAGUUGAGGGUGCCUGAAGUCUGUUACCGUAAGGAGCGUCCUAGGGUAAAAUUGGUAACUAGGGCU